AAUCAACGCUGGCGGCGUGCCUAACACAUGCAAGUCGAACGCGAAAGCCCUUUCGGGGUAAGUAGAGUGGCGUCCGGGUGAGUAACACGUGGGUAAUCUGCCUUCGGGUGGGGAAGUAACCCAGGGAACUUGGGCUAAUACCGCAUAAUGCAGCGGCACCUAAUGGUGAUUAGUUGUUAAAGCGGGGGAUCGCAAGACCUCGCGCCUGAAGAGGAGCCUGCGGCAGAUUAGCAGUUGGUGAGGUAAUGGCUCACCAAGGCUGCGAUCUGUAGCUGGUCUGAGAGGACGGCCAGCCACACUGGCACUGACACACGGGCCAGACUCCUACGGGA
rnacentral:rRNA from 1 species